rnacentral:tRNA from 1 species
AGGGUAUUAGCUUAAUGGUAAAGCGCCUACUUUACACGUAGUAUAGUAGUAGUUCGAAUCUACUAUACCCUA